rnacentral:misc_RNA from 1 species
AAAGCUUAAGCAUAUGCAUCAGCAAUUAACAAUCAACUUCAGUUGGUGUAUUAUUGUCUUUACCUCUGUUUAGAAGUGUAAGCACAAUUUAGCAUAACCUAAUAGUAGUGCCAACCAUCCAUCUUCCUUGCAAGCAAGCAAUAUAUAGAUAAAGAGAAGGAAAACAGGGAACUUUCCAUGUGAGAAAAUAUCAACAUGAACUUUUUUUCGUCUGACCUAGUUAGUAGUCUAAUAGAAGACAAAAAGUCACGAAUAUGAUUUGUAAAUGGAAUUCUGAAAGUGUCCUUUUAGGUGACCCAAAUUAAUUACUAAACCAUUUCAUGCCAUCAAGCGCCUGCUCCCAUGGAAUCAAGACUAUGUGGGUAGCAGUCAGAAGUUGAAAUUAAAAUAGCAAAGUCCUCAAAAUAGAUAACUCUACAAGUGUUAUUAUGCCAGUGUUUUACUUGGAAUCUACGAUAAUAUUGAAUAAUUAAGAUAUUUGUUCAAAAGUCAAACUUGGCUACAACUCCGCUCAGUCUAAAUUCCAAUCUAGU